AUAGCUUUAUUGUUUCUCUGUUCUUUCCUUAUUCUCUCACAACAGAAAAACUAAAUUUAUUUAUUUUGCACUUUAUGUUUCUUAAUGUUGUCAGACUAAUACAGAAGAACAAAAAACUAACUGUUGAUGUUUUGUCUAGCCAGCUAGCCGGCAAGUCAGAUAAAAGUGUCAUCUGAUACGAGAAAGUACUACUGUUUUCAUUUAUAAAAGAUACAUAAGUGUUAAUUUGGCAAGUCUGUUAGUUGAUAACCUUACCUGAUGUUAAGAGGGUGAGUGGUUAGUGUAAAAUAACUUUGAGAUCACCUCCUUUUGCAGUUCUGACCAAUUUUUUCUUCACAUCAUUUUGAAAUUCUUAGUUUGUUUUUUGAGUUAUCCAUAUUGUACCCAUGUCAUGCUGAAUGAACGUGCAUGCUGUGAGAGAGAUAGAUGGAAACUGUAAUUCUUCAGUGUCAUUAUACAUUAUGUAGAGUUAUAUUUUGAAAAUCACUGUUCCGAUGUCUCAUCAAGGUUGAGGCUCAUAUUGUUUAAGAAUGUUGCUCACCAAUUCACAAUUGUUUCUGGCUCACCCAAUUUAUGUAAGCAUGUACAGAAUUAGACUGAGAGACACCAACCAGAUAUAUUGGUUCAGUAAACUCACAAUUAUCAGGGAGAAAUAACAUAAACUCUUUUGUUUCAAGCAUUUUUUCUUAUUAAGUUUCCUAUAUCUGAUCUACUUCACACAUUAUAUAACUAUGAAACUGCUAAUAAUUAUUCACAUCGGCAUCUCUGAAUUCAUCAUGAGAACAUGGUAUCUGUCUCUCUGACAAUGUGUCAUGAUGAUCUGGCUUAUCUUAAUGUUGUCAGAGACACAGAAGAACUGAAAACUAACUACAGUUUGGAUGUAACAACGUACAAGGCAUAGCUUGACACCACGUAGAAGUCAGGGAGCGCCCACGUCGCUUAGGAGGGUGAGUGGAUUAGUCGCCGAUUAGUGCCUUCACUGUUGUUGAAUAAACUGGCUUCAGCUCUGAUGCAUGUGAACUGUGAGGUGUUUUUGGUAUGGGAAUGAUGAGGUUCUGAUGGUCUAUACCUGAUUGCAAGGUUUGGGUAUGAAUUAAAUUUGCGUCCAAACUUGGCAAUUAUCUUCUAUGAAUUUAGGCAUUGUUCACAUGUCAUUUGAGUCAAACAGAAAUAUGCUUCUGAAAUGCUCCAAUUUGCUGCUUUUCACAUUUUGAGAAGGUUGUUUAUUUCGUAUUCAUCGGGUUAUGCUAAAGCAGAAGGCAUUGUGCUGACAUUUUUUAAGCCUUACUUGAUUUUGAUAUGUGGUUAGCCGUUUGCCCUUGCACCAAAAACAAACACUAUUCCUAUGUCUUACUUAGAAGCAAAGGUGCAUUAAUUAUUAACUGGUUGAUAUAUGUUCCAUGGUGGGUGGCAUAGAAAACAAAGCUUCUUUCUAAGACAUGAUGUUCUGUUACUAGCAAAAAAGUGUUAGAAUUUAUAAGUACUUAUUCAAAGAAAAUAAAAACUGACUGGAGAACUGUUUGUUUCUACCAUUCCUUUCAAGUUAAGGCAAAAAUCAUAUUGGCAUGUAGCUUGUGCUCCUGCAGAGUUCUUUUUGUUUUGAUUUUCUAUAAUGUUAAAGGCAUAUAGAAUAAUGAAAUUGCAAUAGUUAUGAUCCCUAGGCCCGACAAAAAACUGACGAGAGUAUUAGGCGGUGGCAGGUAUCAGGCUACAGCAGUUGAAUUGCAAGUCUUCUGAUGAGCUUUUGCAGCAAGGUGGAGCAACCUUACAGUGCAAAGAUGAAGAAGGGGCAAUUCCUCUUCAUGGUGCUUGUGCUUGGGGGUAUGCAUUAUUUAUUUGCAUUGAGCUUAUACUUCCUUGCCCCAAGGAGAAGGUUUCAUGCCCCAAGAAGUAGAAUACGUACAGACAGGCACCCAUCGGGAUGGACGAUCAAGAAACCAAAGUCUAGGCCCUGAUAACUACUCCCUCCGUUCCAAAAUAGAUGACCCAACUUUAUACUAACUUUGGAAUGGAGGGAGUACAAAGCAAGUCGAUGCCAGCAUACAUAUGACAAAAUGAUGGGCCUGUCAGAGCGAACCCUUGGUUGAAAUUUGUCAAAAGACUGGGCGGUAAACUGAGUGGUAGUCUUAGUAUCCUAAUACACAACUUGCCUACUAUGUUUUUUUUUUAACAACAGAGAGCGCCAGAGGCGCCAGAUUUCAUUCAGCUCAACAACAUAAUACAGCAUUUAUUACAAUGCCCUGCAGUAGUGUAGCAGACUGAAGAGCAAGCAAAACAGGAUAACAGUUUGAGGAAUGAGCUGAUUUAGAGCAUACAUAGAUAGAUUGGUCAAGGCGUCGCUUUCAACUAUGGAGUUGUGUGCAAAGAAAGGACAUAAUGUUUCUCAAAUUGCCCUUUGUAUCUCUAUGUUUUGCACUUUAUCAAAGGCGCAAUCAGUUGAGCUCUCAAGCAAGUUUUUCCAGCAUGA